GACAAAGUGCUUCGAUCAGUCGGCGCCAGUUGGCGUUGUACGGGGGUUUGUUUAAACCUCGAUCAGCUGUGCUGCGUGUGUUGUGAUAUAUUUUCUUAGCUUUUGUGGCUUUUUGCACUAUUUUUUUAAUAACGAAAACAUGGGUCUCAAGAAAGCCAUUGCAGACAAGCCGAAAAGGAAAGCGGUAAGAACCACAAUCGAACUUAAAAAAGAAAUUAUUGAAAAGUAUGAAAGAGGCAGUCGUGUGACUGAUUUAGCAUCUCAGUUUAACCUGCCGAGAUCGACCAUAAGUACAUUUUUAAAGCAUAGAGAAGUAAUAAAAAGUGCUAGUGUUGCUAAGGGGGUUAAGAGUUUGACAAAACAGAGGCCUCCCAUAAUAGAUGAAAUAGAAAAACUGUUGUUGGUGUGGAUAAACGAAAAACAGUCAUCUGGUGAUCGUGUUACAGAGCCCAUGAUUUGCGGUAAGGCUCUAACCUUGUAUGCUGAUCUGAAAACCAAACCAGAAUUAAGUAAUACCGAGCAUGAGUUCAUGGCUAGUAGGGGAUGGUAUGACAGGUUUAAGAAAAGAAGUGGUAUUAAUGGUAUUGUGAGGCAUAAGGAGGCAGCGAGCGCUGAUGGAAAACCUGUCGAAAAUAAUAGGAAAAGUGGCAUUCAUAGUGCUGUAAAUCAUGGGGAGGCAGCGAAUGAUGAAAAACCUGUCGAAAAAAUUAAGAAAAGAGAUGGCAGUCUUAGUGUUGUAGGACACAGGAAGGCAGCGACUACUGAUGAAAAAGAUGUCGAAAAGUUUGUGAACGAUUUUCAACAAUUCGUUGACGAAAAUGGCUUUAUGCCAAAUCAAAUAUUUAAUUGUGACGAGACAGGACUCUUUUGGAAAAAAAUGCCAAAGAGGACCUUUAUUACUGUAGAGGAAAAGAAACGGCCAGGCCACAAACCAAUGAAAGAUAGGCUAACUUUGUUAAUGUGUGCAAACGCUAGUGGCGAUUUAAAACUAAAGCCUCUUUUGGUCUACCACUCCGAAAACCCUAGAAUUUUUAAGAAACAUAAAGUUAUUAAGAGUAAGUUAAAUGUUAUGUGGAAGUCAAAUGCUAAGGCUUGGGUAACAAUGCAAAUUUUUAGAGAGUGGAUUUGUGAAGUGUUUGCCCCCAGUGUAAAUAAAUACCUUAAGGAAAACAAUUUGCCACUCAAGGCACUUCUAAUUUUAGACAAUGCCCCUGCCCAUCCCCUAGACAUGGAAUAUGAGUUAGCAGACGAAUUUAGCUGGCUAAAAAUAAAAUUUUUGCCACCCAGAAUAGCCUCACUAAUACAACCCAUGGUCCAGCAGGUUAUUUCUAAUUUCAAAAAACUAUACACUAAGGCACUGUUCCACAGGUGUUUCGAAGUGACCAGUGAAACUAGCCUGACCUUGGCCGAAUUCUGGAAGGAACAUUUCCAUAUUUUAAGUUGUGUUAGGCUAAUAGACAAAGCAUGGGCAGAUGUCUCUAAGGAGGUUCUAAGAGCAGCUUGGAGAAACCUUUGGCCUGAUGGAGUUCCUCCUAGGGACUUUGAAGGUUUUGAUGCCCCAAGUCCACUUGCACCUGACCCUGAAGCUGAGCCCUUACCUCUGCCUGACCCAGAUGUUGAGGAAAUUGUUUCUGUGGCACAGUCCAUGGGCUUGGAGGUCAGUGCUGAUGACGUUGAGGAGCUAAUUGAAGAACAUAGCUAUGAACUCACAAAAGAGGAGCUCCAGGAGCUUCAAAAGGAGCAGCAGAAGAUUUUGGCUGAGGAAAUGGCUGGAGAAGAGGAAAACAAGAGGGAGUCAACUUCUUCAGACAUCAAGGAAAUGCUUCUUCACUGGGAGAAAUUCCAAGAAUUUUUUGAAAAGAAUCAUCACGAUAAGGAACUGGUUAACCGUGCUAUUAAUUAUGUUGAUGAUAAUUUAGUUAACCCUUACAGAAAACAGUUAAAGAAACGCCAACAGCAGACCACAUUAGACAGAUAUUUUUAUCAAAAAGAAAGCCAGCCAGUUCCUCGUGUAAAAAGACAAAGAAGGGAAAAUACUCCUGAAAAGCAGCUACAGUACCAGUUGAGUUUAGGGAAGGGGAUUCCCCUUCCAAACAAUGACUCUCUCCAUGUCCACAAAUCCAGAUCCUCAACAAUGUCAAGCGAACACACUGCAAGGGAUGAAGAAACAAACCCCCAGCUACAAACAAACCCAGAGGCUACAUGUGUCAAAGUGGAAGGAACUAACUGUCAAGACGAUGGAGGUCACAGGAAUGUUUGUGAAAUGGCAGUUCAAACUGGACAUGAGCUGGGCGGGGAAGGUCCCCAGUCAAAAGAUACAGAAUGGGAUCAGCUGAAAGCAGAAAUAGAUAUUAAGGAGGAGUCCCUGGAUGAUUUUCUAUAUGAGGAGGAGAAAAUAACUUUGAAGAUGAAGAAAGACGAAGAGAUGACAUCUAUGGAUGAACUUCGACCAUUCAAAGUUUAGCAGCAAUAUGAAAAAAAAGAGUUUGAUCUGUGGAUCCCAGCUGUUGCUGGUAUUCAUUUAUAGCCGGGUGAACUGAUGGAGUUCCUUCUCCGAUAAAAUUCAAUCUAACGAGACUGCUUCGUGGCUUGAUUUCAAACACGCUUGCAACUUGCAUCGCCAAGAAAAUGAAGAAGAGAUAUGAGACUUCACCGAGCCUCAUCAGUAGCUAUCAAUUACAGAACCUUCGCUGGGUGUCUUUUCCCUUUUUACAAUUAUCAGUUAAUUCGUUCGUUAUCAUUUUAAUAAGUGUCCGUGAUAGCAGCAGUGACAAUGUUACGUUACAGAUACUGUGAGGGAGAAAAAAAAAGGAGUACAAAUUAUCAGAAAAUCAUUUCAGUAUUUUUAUGUUUGUCAUGUUCAGCGAAGACGCACGGGCUCUGAUUUUGUCUCUUAUUUGGAUCUCCGGGAAUUAUUUUUUUUAGGUAUUUGACAAUUGAUUUACUAAAGUUACCCCGGUAACCAUCAAGUAUCAGUUAUUUAGUGAAUAAACCGGUAUUAUUAACAUUUAUAUUUCACGUUGUAAAAUGGCAGAGUUCAUUCCAGCAUUAGUAUUAAGGUUUCGGGAACAAUUUUUAUGUAAAAGCAAGCUGCUUAAAUAUACAUUGCAAUGGAUGAGAGUUUUUCCUUAAUACCCUUCUAGUUGCCCCGCAGUGCUCUUGCAUGCCGAAGAGAUCGAGUACCUGACAUCACUGAUGUUUGUAGGACGUCACAUUGCCAGGCGAGAAUUUGAAGUCACAUGAUCUCAUGAUGUAUAACAGACUCGAAUUUCUCGAUAAGAUCGAACGAGAAAAUUAAAGCAGCUUUUGCAUAAUGCCCGCUAAGAACGAAAAAGAACUAGAGUACACGGAGGUCUUUCUACAUAAGAUUGGUCAAUACAGACAUUAAUCCACUCUUAUUGUCUGGGGAUGUG